CCAAUAGCGUAUAUUAAAGUUGUUGCAGUUAAAAAGCUCGUAGUUGAAUUUCGGGGUUAGUAAGUUGGUCGUGCCACUGGUAUGUACUGGCUUUACUGAUUCCUCCUUCUUGUAGAACCGUAAUGCCAUUAAGUUGGUGUUGCGGGGAAACAGGACUGUUACUUUGAAAAAAUUAGAGUGUUUAAAGCAAGCUAACGCUUGAAUACAUUAGCAUGGAAUAAUGAAAUAGGACGUUCGAUCCUAUUUUGUUGGUUUCUAGGAUUGACGUAAUGAUUAAUAGGGAUAGUUGGGGGCAUUAGUAUUCAAUUGUCAGAGGUGAAAUUCUUGGAUUUAUGAAAGACUAACUUCUGCGAAAGCAUUUGCCAAGGAUGUUUUCAUUAAUCAAGAACGAAAGUUAGGGGAGCAAAGACGAUCAGAUACCGUCGUAGUCUUAACUAUAAACGAUGCCGACUAGGGAUCGGUGGGAGUUAGUUUUAUGACUCCAUCGGCACCUCAUG
rnacentral:misc_RNA from 1 species